UGGCUCAGGAUGAACGCUAGCGGCAGGCUUAACACAUGCAAGUCGAGGGGUAGAGUUCUUCGGAGCUUGAGACCGGCGCACGGGUGCGUAACGCGUAUGCAAUCUGCCUUUCACAGAGGGAUAGCCCAGAGAAAUUUGGAUUAAUACCUCAUAGUAUAAUGAGUUGGCAUCAACACAUUAUUAAAGUCACAACGGUGAAAGAUGAGCAUGCGUCCCAUUAGCUGGUUGGUAAGGUAACGGCUUACCAAGGCUACGAUGGGUAGGGGUCCUGAGAGGGAGAUCCCCCACACUGGUACUGAGACACGGACCAGACUCCUACGGGAGGCAGCAGUGAGGAAUAUUGGACAAUGGGCGCAAGCCUGAUCCAGCCAUGCCGCGUGCAGGAUGACGGUCCUAUGGAUUGUAAACUGCUUUUGUACGAGAAGAAACACUCCUACGUGUAGGAGCUUGACGGUAUCGUAAGAAUAAGGAUCGGCUAACUCCGUGCCAGCAGCCGCGGUAAUACGGAGGAUCCAAGCGUUAUCCGGAAUCAUUGGGUUUAAAGGGUCCGUAGGCGGUUUAGUAAGUCAGUGGUGAAAGCCCAUCGCUCAACGGUGGAACGGCCAUUGAUACUGCUGAACUUGAAUUAUUAGGAAGUAAC
rnacentral:rRNA from 1 species